CAGAGGUUUUAUUAGCACACAAAAAUUAAUAGAUGAAUUACGAAUAUCAAGUAUGAACACGGUGACUUUAAAACUCUAGUUGUUAAUGUAUGGAAUUAAUGAUUUGUAUGAGCGUUUAUAGUAAAGGGUUUGGGGGUUUUUCUUUCCAAAAGUGGGAGUAUCUUUGGUUUUCAGAUCUGAUAUCAACGUUAGUCAAAAUGAAAAAACAUAUAGAGCAUCUCUGUCAAGAAAUCUAUGGGCUUUGUGUUUCUGAAGGACGCGAUCGAUGAGAGUACUGACAGAAGAGAGUGAGCAGACGCAGACAAUUGUAUAAAGACCAUACCUUUGUGGAUGCGCGUGCUCACUACUCUUUCUGUCAGCCAGCCGUCUCGAUUUUUCCUUUCUGGACUAAUAUAUGGCUUUUUAUCACACCCGCCUACUCCCCCUUAUUCAGCCUAAAGUUUUGCUGUGAACAAAGCUGAAAAGAGGCCGCCUGCAAUUUCAGAAGCUGACCGCAAAUAUUAGCCAAUAGCCAUUUGAUAUGGCACUAUAAGCUUAUCCAUAUACUGCUGCCGCCGCAGUGCCACCACCAUCACUACUUGACACGAAAGUACCGACAGGCCCUCUGUGCUGAUUUAUGACAUCAUAAAUACUAUUAUAUUUGAUCACAAAAAAAACGUAAAAAAAAUUCACAGUUUGAAGUCAUUUGUGGGUGAGGAAAAAGGAAGUCUAUACAGCAGAACGAAGAGGUUUAGCACCCACAAUUUUUUAUUUUCAUUUUUCUUGAUGUGAUUUUGUUUAUGCAAUUAAUACUUCUUCUUCUUCUUUUUUUAUUUUUAUUUUUUAUUUUUUUGGGUUUUACCUUAUCCAAAUAAAAAUAUACCAUGAUUAAUGGAGCUGUGGAGCCUGAUUUUUUUAUGUUGGAGUUGGGAAGGUACGCCUGGUUAUUUUUCUAUUAACGGUAAAAUUGUGGUUUUCUAGGGCCGUCUUGGGAAUAAAAUAGAAUAUAUUAACCUCACUAUGUUUUUUUACCAUUUUUCUGCUACUAAUUUACUCAAUUCUUGAUCCAUUCCUUCUGCAAUAUCAGCCUUAAGUUUGUCAAGACAGGUCCUUGUAUGCAGAACUUGUGCUUUUCUUUGUAAAGUUAAUAUUUGAUUUUAUAUUUUAUGUGAAUUUUGUUUUCUUAAACGAUGCAGAUUUUAUUAGUUUUGGUAAUAUUUGAUUUUUCUAUUGUUUGCAACGAGGUGAUCUCAUGGAAAAUUACAAUAUCAUGGAUGCAACACGGAUAUGAGAAGAUCUUUGUUUCCUUCAAUGGUCAUAUAUGCAUUCAGUCAUGGCUCUGCGAACAAAAAGGAAAUUCCUUUACAGCAGUUAAUACUUGGUCCUAGGGACGAUAUAAAGAAACUCAAUCACUCAGCUGUUAUGCUAGUGGUAUUUCAAGGGUCUGCCAGCUUGGACUAUUGGAGUGUCUUUAAGAUUGUUAAACAAUCUUAAAUGCGUGAAACUUCCCUAACAUUUAGAUAUUAUUUUGUUAAAGAACUCACAGAAUCUCACACCAGGGAACUUCUCUAUGCAAUUUCAAGCGUACAAGGUAUAAAGUGGCUGGUUUUUUGUAUUUUUAUUUUAAGUUCCUUUUAGUUAAUUGAAUAUUGAAAAAAUUUGAAAGGCAUUUUUCUUUGGUCUGUAUGGAAUUAUUUUAAUUUCUGUGAAUAGUUGACGGUCUACAAUUUUUUAUUUUAAUUUUUUUUUUCCUCGCGAGAUCUAUAAUGUUCUUUUCAGUGGCAAUAAUUUAAUGUCUUGGUCAUAUGAUGAUUGUAUAUUCUUGCAUAUUCGCGUUUUGGGGUAAAUUAUUUCUAAUAAUAUUUGAACAUUUUCUAUCAAUUACUCUGAUUCUUAUAACAAAAUUACGACACUGAAUAGUUUUGUUUUUAUAUAUCUUUUGAAGUCUAGUGAGGACUUUGGUCCAUUAACAUUGAUUUGCUUGUGCAUAUCUCUUAUGUGCCGUGAUUUAAUGGCAAAAGCAUAUCCUUUAUGUGCUACUUCAUGUCUUCCUCAUUGUAUUUAUGCCGAGUUUAGCAAAUUUUAGAUUUAUUUAUUAAAUUUGUAUAAAAGCAAAGUUUAUAUGAGAAAAGUAAAUUUGUGUCCAGUGUUUUAAUUGAUAUUAAGGCAGUUCUCUCCUUGUAUCAAUUGAAUAUCAUCCUUACUUGGUUUGCCCGGUGUUAAUGUAUCUCGAGUUUAAAUGAUUUAUUUUUCAUAAUCUGAACACUGAAGAAAAAUAUAAUGUAGUACUUGCAGUCAUCUACACCAAAGUUCCACUUCAAUUUAGAUUGCAAACACCCCAGUUAGAUAGAAUUUUUUUGCAUUU